rnacentral:rRNA from 1 species
GUAAUAGCUCACUAGUCGAGAGGUCCUGCGCCGAAAAUGUCCGGGGCUGAAACACCACACCGAAGCUCAGGAAUCACACUUAUGUGUGAUUGGUAGAGGAGCAUUGCAUACGGAAUGAAGCAGUACCGAUAAGGAGCUGUGGACUGUAUGGAAGAGAGAAUGCCGGAAUGAGUAGCGAGAAUGAAGUGAGAAUCUUCAUGGCCGAAUAUCCAAGGUUUCCGGGGUAAAGCUGAUCUGCCCCGGGUAAGUCGGGACCUAAGGCGAGGCUUAAGUGCGUAGCCGAUGGACAACAGGUUUAGAUUCCUGUACUUCCCAUGAACAGAACUGUGGGGACACAGCAGACGGAGCGCGAGCCGGAAAAGGAAAGUCCGGCGCAAGCGGUGAGUGUGUCAGGAGGCAAACCCCCUGUAUAAACACAAGCCGUGAUGCGGAGCGAAAUACAAGUAGCGAAGAGUGCCGAGCCGCUGUCGAGAAAAGCCGCUAUUGUUUUGUGGGAACCCGUACCGUAAACCGACACAGGUGGAUGAGGAGAGAAUCCUAAGGCCGGCGGGAGAAGCAUUGUUAAGGAACUCGGCAAAAUGACCCCGUAACUUCGGGAGAAGGGGUGCCUGCAGAGCUAUCUGCAGGCCGCAGAGAACUGGCCCAAGCAACUGUUUAACAAAAACACAGGUUUAUGCAAAACCGAAAGGUGAAGUAUAUGAGCUGACGCCUGCCCGGUGCUGGAAGGUUACGAGGAGAUGUUAGAGCAAUCGAAGCAUUGAAUUUAAGCCCCAGUAAACGGCGGCCGUAACUAUAACGGUCCUAAGGUAGCGAAAUUCCUUGUCGGGUAAGUUCCGACCCGCACGAAAGGCGUAAUGAUUUGGGCACUGUCUCGACAAUGCACCCGGUGAAAUUGAAAUACCAGUGAAGAUGCUGGUUACCCGCGCCAGGACGGAAAGACCCCAUGGAGCUUUACUCCAGUUUGAUACUGGGAUUCGGUAAUGCAUGCACAGGAUAGGUGGGAGGCUAUGAAGCAGGAACUCCGGUUUCUGCAGAGCCGCUGUUGGGAUACCACCCCUGCGUUGCUGGAUUUCUAACCUGCGCCCGUGAUCCGGGCGGGGGACAAUGUCAGGCGGGGAGUUUGACUGGGGCGGUCGCCUCCGAAAGGGUAUCGGAGGCGCUCAAAGGUUCCCUCAGAAUGGUUGGAAACCAUUCGAAGAGUGCAAAGGCAGAAGGGAGCUUGACUGUGACACCGACGGGUGGAACAGGUACGAAAGUAGGACUUAGUGAUCCGGUGGCAUAAAGUGGGAUUGCCAUCGCUCAACGGAUAAAAGCUACCCUGGGGAUAACAGGC